rnacentral:ncRNA from 1 species
GUUGGAGAAGUGCGGAUUGUAGUGCAGGAAGACGAAGCCGCGCGCCUGGUCGAUGAUGUGGAACAGCGGGUUCCAGUCGAACAUCGCGACCAUGUAGGCGGGCAGGGUGUUGGCGAGGAACAUCUUGCCGCUCGCGAUCAUGUUGGCGCGG